rnacentral:rRNA from 1 species
CGCGAAUUCGCCCUUCGGGGUGCCCAGGCGCGAAAUCUCUGCAAUGCUUGAAAGCGUGAUUGGGGAAUUCUGAGUGGCGGAAACUUACUUUCCGUCUUUUGCCAAGUGUAAACAGCUUGAAAAAUAAGGGUGUGGGCAAAACUGGUGGAAUCCGCCGCGGUAACACCAGCGCCUCGAGUGGUACCCACGAAUAUUGGGCCUAAAGCGUCCGUAGCUGGACCUCUAAGUCCGCUGUGAAAUGUUGGGGCUCAACCCUAACGCGUGCAAUGGAUACUGUUGGUCUUGGGAACGGGGGAGGGUCGGGGUACUUCCAGGGUAGGGGUAAAAUCCGUUGAGCCUGGAAAGACCACCAGUGACUAAGGCGCCGAUCCAAAAAGUGUCCAACGGUAAGGGACAAAAGCUGGGGGAGCGAACGGGAUUAUAUACCCCGGUAGUCCCACCUGUAAAUGAUGCACACUGUGGUGUUACACAUGAAUAAUCAUGUGUAGUGCUAUAUCGUACGUGUUAAUUCUGCCUCCUGGAGAGUACUAUCGCAAGAUUUAAACUUAAAGGAAUUGGCGGGCGAGCAC